ensembl:lncRNA
GAGAUUCACUUGAACGAACGAGCGGGACUUUCAUUUUCAAACCUGAGACGUAUGAGGAGACGAUGUUUUUCUUUGUUUACUUUAAUUGUCAUGUUGUUAAAGUUCUGUAGCUUUCGAGAAUACUCAUUUUGUGAUAAACUACGAUAAGAAACGAUGGAUUCAACAGAAGACGACAUAUCUGACUGCUCGGAUUCUGUUGAGGAGAGUUCUGCAUUCAGAGUUACCAAGAUCUCCUGUAACCAGAAGUGCAACAAAUGUAUGGCAGAGCAUGAGGCUGAAAAACACCCCUGGACUGGAGAGUCCUGGAUCUGCCUUGCGUCACACACUCAAGAAGAAGCUCCAUGAGAGUGCCUCCCUGUCACCCCUCCCUUCACCUAAACGGCCAAGGUCAACAGUGCCAAAUACAAACCCUCCUGUGACGGUCCCGUCCCCGGUGCAUGAUGAGGACAUGACCACUCGUGGUCUGCUCAGGGGGAUCAUUCAGACGGUGGCCUGAACCUGACCUUGAAGACCCCAUUUGUAGAGAAGCACAUUGAGAGGGCGGGGCUUCAGAGGAAGGUGUCCAAUCGGAGGCUACCAUCUGUGGAUGCAUUUGAUGAGGCCGUUCAGAGAUGCUUGGAGCAGGGUCCCAACCAAGAUCAAUCUGUAUUUCAGGAUGGAAAAACUCUAGAAGAUUCUUCAUUCUUCAGAAGUUCACACUCGGCCUCAAUGAUGUCACAGAGCUUUAUGCCCAGCUUAAUAAAAAAGACGACAAAGUGGGACCGUCUGCAGAGAUGGAGAGGGAUGCAGAGAACGAGCGAGAACAUGAGCUUGAGCGAGCCAGUGAGAUUCCAGACUCAGAACCUUUAAUUCAAGAAGGAAAAGAUCAUGAGAUGGAAUCACAGGAUGAUGAGGAAGAGGAAGAGGAAGAGGUGGUGCUUUCAUCCCAAGAAAAUGUGUUUUUGAGUCCAGAAGAUGAUAUUGUACUUCCUCCAACGCAGACAAUGACAGAAUUACUUCCUGAAUCGCGUGAUGUGCAGCUAGAAGAUCGAGAAUUUGUGGAGGAAGUUGAGAUUGGGAAUGUUGUGGAAAUUGAGGAUGUGGAAAUUGAAGAUGACAGCGUUGAGGAUGAGAUGGUUGUGGAUGAGAAUGUUGAGGAAAUCGAGGAUGAGGAGGUUGUUAAAGCUGAACAUGAAAAUGUUGAAGAGAACCCAGACACCUCACAGUGUCUAGAGCGAAUAACUCGUAGAGCUCACCGCUCAGAGGGAGGAGGCUCUGUCGUGGGAAUUCCGCCUGCCACGGGAGUCACAAAGAAUUUUGGAGCUGGAUUGAACCCCAGAGAGAAAGAUCUUUUGGAUUUUGUGGACGAGAACCGUGAGAAUUUACAGGACUUUUCGGAUGAAGAAAGAGAACCGCUGGGCAGCCAAGAGUUUCCUCGCCUCCAUCCUCCAGCAGAGCUCAGCUCACCAGAGCAGAGGUCACGGCAACAUGAGGCUAGUCUGGCUGAGGGAGAUGUGCCAGAGCUUGAAGAAGAUGAUGACGCCCCAGAAGAACUUAACCAAUCAGAGGAGGAGGAGCUGAUAGACUCUGGGUCAGCCAGUCAGAGCCCUGAACUUCCACAAGAAGAGGAAGAGAACGAUGAUGACGACGCUCUUAGUGCAGAACUGUCCAUCAAAACUCCUGCGUUUGUAAGACAGAAGAGAGAUUUCACAGGUUCUGUUGCGCAGGCUAUGCCAACAGUCUUUAAAGUGAAUGCUGGUCCUGCCCCUCAGGUUGCUAAACGAGCCCCCAGACAGAAGCGUCAGACA